rnacentral:rRNA from 1 species
CCUACGGGUGGCAGCAGUGAGGAAUAUUGGUCAAUGGACGAGAGUCUGAACCAGCCAAGCAGCGUGAAGGAUGACUGACCUAGGGGUUGUAAACUUCUUUUAUAUGGGAAUAAAAUGUUCCACGUGUGGGAUUUUGUAUGUACCAUAUGAAUAAGGAUCGGCUAACUCCGUGCCAGCAGCCGCGGUAAUACGGAGGAUCCGAGCGUUAUCCGGAUUUAUUGGGUUUAAAGGGAGCGUAGGUGGAUUGUUAAGUCAGUUGUGAAAGUUUGCGGCUCAACCGUAAAAUUGCAGUUGAAACUGGCAGUCUUGAGUACAGUAGAGGUGGGCGGAAUUCGUGGUGUAGCGGUGAAAUGCUAAGAUAUCACGAAGAACUCCGAUUGCGAAGGCAGUUCACUGGACUGCAACUGACACUGAGGCUCGAAAGUGUGGGUAUCAAACAGGAUUAGAUACCCCAGUAGUC